rnacentral:rRNA from 1 species
AUACGUAGGGGGCGAGCGUUGUCCGGAAUGAUUGGGCGUAAAGGGCGCGUAGGCGGCCCGGUAAGUCUGGAGUGAAAGUCCUGCUUUUAAGGUGGGAAUUGCUUUGGAUACUGUCGGGCUUGAGUGCAGGAGAGGGAAGUGGAAUUCCCAGUGUAGCGGUGAAAUGCGUAGAGAUUGGGAGGAACACCAGUGGCGAAGGCGACUUACUGGACUGUAACUGACGCUGAGGCGCGAAAGUGUGGGGAGCAAACAGGAUUAGAUACCCGGGUAGUCCACACUGUAAACGAUGAAUGCUAGGUGUAGGGGGUAUCGACCCCUUCUGUGCCGCAGUAAACACAAUAAGCAUUCCGCCUGGGGAGUACGGCCGCAAGGUUGAAACUCAAAUGAAUUGACGGGG